rnacentral:pre_miRNA from 1 species
AUAAUACUCCCUCCGUCCAACAAAGGAUGUCUCAACUUUGACUAAAUUUGAAUGCAUCUAUACACUAAGUCAUGUCUAGAUACAUCCAAAUUUUGACAAACUUGAGACAUCUUUUGUUGGAUGGAGGGAGUACUCC